rnacentral:rRNA from 1 species
GCUAAAAAUACAACCUAUUUUUAUUCAAUAACACUUAAAUCUCAUAUUUAAACUAAAACAUUUUAUAAGUUUAGUAAAGGCGAUUGAAACAUUAAUUAGAGUUAUAAAAGUACCGUAAGGGAAUAAUGAAAUAAAAAUGAAAUAAAUAUUAAGCACUAAACAGUAAAGAUUAAUCCUUGUACCUUUUGCAUCAUGGUUUAAUUAGUCUAAUCAAGCAAAAUGAUUUAUAGUUUGCCUUCCCGAAACUAAGUGAGCUACUUCAAGGCAGUUGAUAGAACAAACCCGUCUCUGUUGCAAAAGAGUGGGAAGACCUUCAAGUAGUGGUGACAGACCUAACGAACUUAGUGAUAGCUGGUUUCUCAGGAAAAGGAUUUUAGUCCAACCUAAAGUUCCACAAAUUUAACAAAAUUAAUCUUAAACUUUAGAGUAAUUCAAUUAAGGGACAGCUUACUUGAAAAAGGAUACAACCUAAACUAAUGGGUAUUUACAACUAACAUAACUAAGUGGGCCUAAAAGCAGCCAUCUUCAAGACAGCCCUAAAGCUCUACUACACAAUUAAUUUAAUCUCUUAAAACAAAUUUAACCCUUUAAUAUUACCGAGAAAUUCUAUUCACUUAUAGAAUCUAUAAUGUUAAAACAAGUAACAAGAAGAAGACUCUUCUCUUAAAUAUAAAUAUAAACCAAUAAGGACCCACCGCUGGUAAUUACACAUCAAUGAAAUACGCUAACAACCCUACAAGAAAAAUCUAGCAAAUUAAAUGUUAACCUUACACAAGUAUAUUUUAAGAAAGAUUAAAAGAAAAAGAAGGAACUCGGCAAAUUCUUGCCCUCGCCUGUUUACCAAAAACAUCGCCUUUUGAUUAUUAUAAAAGGUCCAGCCUGCCCAGUGACUUGUUUAACGG